GCUUUCAACAUCCCCGUUCCGGGGCGAGGUUUUUCUUUCCAGAAGAGCCUCGCGGCCAGAACUGAAGGC
rnacentral:sRNA from 12 species